rnacentral:snoRNA from 1 species
AUUCAUUUUUUAUGAUGACUACAUAGUUCAUUUGAAAAAAGAUGAAAUUUAGCUAUAUUGCAAUUGUCUUUCGCUCCUAUCUGAGAAUGUGG